rnacentral:rRNA from 1 species
AGAGCGUAGGGAGAAUGCCUUGGCAUUAGGAGCCGACGAAGGACGUGAUAAGCUGCGAUAAGCUGCGGGGAUCAGCAAGUAUGAAUUGAUCCGCAGAUUUCCGAAUGGAGCAAUCCGUAUGUGUAUGCACAUACAUCAUAUACUGAAUCAAAUAGGUAUAUGAGGGGAACCGCCUGAACUGAAACAUCUAAGUAGGGCGAGGAAGAGAAAUCAACCGAGAUUCUGUGAGUAGUGGCGAGCGAAAGCGGAAGAGGCUAAACCAUAGGUAGCAAUACUUAUGGGGUUUCGGACAGCAUUUAGUAUUGAUAAUUUCUAGUUGAAACGUGUGGGAAAACGUACCGAAGAGUGUGAGAGUCACGUAAGCGAAAGAGAAAGUCAGCGAGCUGUAUCCAAAGUACCGCGGGACACGUGAAACCCCGUGGGAAGAUGGGGGGACCAUCCUCCAAGCCUAAAUACUACCUAAUGACCGAUAGCGAAUAGUACUGUGAAGGAACGGUGAAAAGAACCCCGGGAGGGGAGUGAAAAAGAACCUGAAACCCUAUGCUUACAAGCACCGAGAGCACGUCAAAGUGUGAUCGGGUACCUUUUGUAGAAUGGUCCGGCGAGUUAUUGUAUGCGGCAAGGUUAAGUGCUUAAGGCACGGAGCCGAAGCGAGAGCAAGUCUGAAUAGGGCGAAAAAGUCGUAUGCAAUAGACCCGAAACCGAGUGACCUAUCCAUGUCCAGGCUGAAGUGGAGGUAAAACUCCAUGGAGGGCCGAACACACGUCCGUUGAAAAGGCCGGUGAUGAGGUGUGGAUAGCGGAGAAAUUCCAAUCGAACUCGGAUAUAGCUGGUUCUCUCCGAAAUAGCUUUAGGGCUAGCCUCGUGAAAGAUUACUGGAGGUAAAGCACUGAAUGGGCUAGGGGUCGAAAGAUUACUGAACCCUAUCAAACUAAGAAUGCCAGAUAAUUGAUUCACGGGAGUCAGACAAUGUGAGAUAAGUCUCAUUGUCAAAAGGGAAACAGCCCAGACCCACAGCUAAGGUCCCUAAACAUUGUUAAGUGGAAAAGGAUGUGGGGUUGCAUAAACAACCAGGAUGUUGGCUUAGAAGCAGCCACUCAUUAAAAGAGUGCGUAAUAGCUCACUGGUCGAGUGACCCUGCGCCGAAAAUUCAACGGGGCUAAACAAUGUACCGAAGCUUGGGAUUCUAAAGUAAUUUAGAGUGGUAGGAGAGCGUCGAAUAAGGGGUGAAGUCAGAGCGGAAGCGCUGGUGGACUUUAUUCGAGUGAGAAUGCCGGAAUGAGUAGCGAGAAUUAUGUGAGAAUCAUAAUGGCCGAAAAUCUAAGGUUUCCUGAGGAAGGUUCGUCCGCUCAGGGUAAGCCGGGGGCUAAGGCGAGGCGGAGACGCGUAGCCGAUGCACAUACGGUUGAAAUUCCGUAGCCACCGAAAGAUUUAAGUACAGGGACGCUUUAGAAGUGAUGUAGCCGGGCGAUGGUUGACCCGGUCGUAAGGGAUCGAAAAUGAGUAGAGAAGUCAUCAUGGAAAGAGACAAGAAAAGCUGUAUGAAUAUCUUAGGUGCCCGUACCGCAAACCGACACAGGUAGAUAGGAAGAAGAUUCUAAGGCCAACGGGAGAAGGGUUGUUAAGGAACUCGGCAAGUUGACCCCGUAACUUAGGGAUAAGGGGUGCUCAAGUGAUUGAGCCGCAGAGAAUAGGUCCAGGCGACUGUUUAGCAAAAACACAGGUCUCUGCUAAAUCGAAAGAUGACGUAUAGGGGCUGACACCUGCCCGGUGCCGGAAGGUUAAGAGGAGAUGUGAGAGCAUUGAAUUGAAGCCCCGGUAAACGGCGGCCGUAACUAUAACGGUCCUAAGGUAGCGAAAUUCCUUGUCAGGUAAGUUCUGACCCGCACGAAAGGUGUAACGAUCUGGGCACUGUCUCAACAACCCGCCCGGCGAAAUUGUAGUACCGGUGAAGAUGCCGGUUACCCGCGACUAGACGGAAAGACCCCAUGGAGCUUUACUGUAGCCUAAUAUUGGGUUUCGAUGUUGCAUGCACAGGAUAGAUGGGACACUGGGAAGCAGGUGCUUUGGCGCUUGUGGAGUGGCCGUUGGGAUACCAUCCUUGCGAUAUUGGAAUUCUAACCUGCGCCUUUGAAUCAAGGCGGGGGA